ACGGAGGGUGCAAGCGUUGUUCGGAAUUACUGGGCGUAAAGCGCGUGCAGGUGGUUUUUUAAGUUUCGUGUGAAAUCCCAUGGCUUAACCAUGGAACGGCACGGAAAACUGGAAGGCUUGAGUACGGGAGAAGAGGGCGGAAUUCCCAGUGUAGAGGUGAAAUUCGUAGAUAUUGGGAGGAACACCGGUGGCGAAAGCGGCUCUCUAGACCGAUACUGACGCUCAUACGCGAGAGCGUGGGUAGCAAACAGGA
rnacentral:rRNA from 1 species